GAAAUUUUUGCUGGAAUUGAGGAAGAAAACUGUAAGAACUUCUCACAAAGACAAACAGGGUUAAGAGAGUCUUCAUUUGGAUUGGUGGCUGUGGUAUAAACUCCAGUGGAAAAUUCAGCCCUAUAAAUACAAGCAUGGUCUGAGUAUAAUUGGGUCUGCUCUAAACCAGCCUAAGAAGAGACCCAUAUAAUUUGAAGUUCACAAAGACAGCUAUCAACAAACCAGC